rnacentral:rRNA from 1 species
UACAGAGGUCUCAAGCGUUGUUCGGAUUCAUUGGGCGUAAAGGGUGCGUAGGUGGUGAUGCAAGUCUGGUGUGAAAUCUCGGAGCUCAACUCCGAAAUUGCACCGGAUACUGCGUGACUCGAGGACUGUAGAGGAGAUCGGAAUUCACGGUGUAGCAGUGAAAUGCGUAGAUAUCGUGAGGAAGACCAGUUGCGAAGGCGGAUCUCUGGGACAGGUUCCUGACACUGAGGCACGAAGGCCAGGGGAGCAAACGGG